CACGUAACGCUAGGACGGACACUUCAAAAUCCUCCUUUUGGAGUGAACUGGUUUCAUUUUUGAUCAAUAUUAUUUACCAUUGGCUCAGGUACAUGUCGAAACAAAUGCUUUGUAUAUCAUUGGUUUAACAGCCUCAUUUGACUCCUUAUAGAGCUACCACUGGCCAAUCGGAGAAGGUCCGCCCUCUAAAUGCUAGUCUGUGAUUGGGUGGUUGAAUUUCGCCCGCCCUCUCUGUUUUGUAAACACCGCUACCUGAGUCAAUCACUCAGCUCUCAUGAUCAGGAACGCGGUGAAAAUGCCAAAAAGUAAACUUUUGAGGCAGCGAUGAACGGACCUAAAUAUGAAAAGACACAACAUUUAGAGGUUCUGAUGUAAACCUUUUCAACCACCUGAGGCUGAAGAUUGUAGAUUUGAGGCUGCCAUGACAACAAUGCUGUUUCUGCUGGACUGUUAGAUGUGAUUGGAAUCUGCAGUAACUACAACUCACAACACACUAUUAGACUGUGGUAGAACCUCUCAAAAGAUCUUCAGCAGCAGUUUGGGUCCUGUACAGUAUCAGGCUUCUGAAGACUUGAGUUUGGUCUUCACUCCCAGUCACUAUCUGUAAAGAGUUUGGCAUGUUUAGUCUAUGUUUUCUCUAUGUAUUCUGUAAAA